rnacentral:tRNA from 1 species
CACGACGUGCCCGAGCAGCCCAAGGGACCAGCCUGCAAAGCUGAGGAUCGCGGGUGCGAGUCCCGCCGUCGUGU